rnacentral:rRNA from 1 species
AUACGUAGGGUGCGAGCGUUGUCCGGAAUUACUGGGCGUAAAGAGCUCGUAGGUGGUUUGUCGCGUCGUCUGUGAAAUUCCGGGGCUUAACUCCGGGCGUGCAGGCGAUACGGGCAUAACUUGAGUACUGUAGGGGAGACUGGAAUUCCUGGUGUAGCGGUGAAAUGCGCAGAUAUCAGGAGGAACACCGGUGGCGAAGGCGGGGCUCUGGGCAGUAACUGACGCUGAGGAGCGAAAGCAUGGGUAGCGAACAGGAUUAGAUCCCCUGGUAGUCCAUGCCGUAAACGGUGGGCGCUAGGUGUAGGGGUCUUCCACGACUUCUGUGCCGUAGCUAACGCAUUAAGCGCCCCGCCUGGGGAGUACGGCCGCAAGGCUAAAACUCAAAUGAAUUGACGG